rnacentral:rRNA from 1 species
CCUACGGGAGGCAGCAGUGAGGAAUAUUGGUCAAUGGGCGCGAGCCUGAACCAGCCAAGUAGCGUGAAGGAUGACUGCCCUACGGGUUGUAAACUUCUUUUAUAAAGGAAUAAAGUGAGGCACGUGUGCCUUUUUGUAUGUACUUUAUGAAUAAGGAUCGGCUAACUCCGUGCCAGCAGCGGCGGUAAUACGGUGGAUCCGUUCGUUAUCCGGAUUUAUUGGGUUUAAAGGGAGCGUAGAUGGUUUGUUAAGUCAGUUGUGAAGGUUUGCGGCUCAACCGUACAAUUGCAAUUGAUACUGGCAGUCUUGAGUACAGUAGAGGUAGGCGGAAUUCGUGGUGUAGCGGUGAAAUGCUUAGAUAUCACGAAGAACCCCGAUUGCGAAGGCAGCUUACUAAACUGUGACUGACAUUGAUGCUCGAAAGUGUGGGUAUCAAACAGGAUUAGAUACCCGAGUAGUC